AAUGUGCAUGUACUAGAAAAAGGAAAGAGUGUUUAAAGAGCAUGGUCAUUACUUUGUUUUUCAGGGAGACCCAGGCCCAUGUGGACUCCAAGGAGAGCAGGGUUAUGCUGGCCUAGAUGGUGCAGCAGGUCGAAGAGGCCCUCCAGGUAUAAAGGGUGAGCAAGGACAUCUGGGAGAAACAGGUUACACAGGAGAAACUGGUCUUCCAGGCCCACAGGGCCCAAGGGGACAACAAGGGAUCAGAG
rnacentral:lncRNA from 1 species